AGAAUACAUUCAUAUUUAUGACAUGUCUGUGAAACCAGCAAUUAAAUAAGUCAUGUCACUUAAGACAUCGCUUCAUUUUGAUAUCCAGAAAAUAUUCUCUUCAAAUAAUCUACUAUUUCAGCUAUCAAUUCAUUCCUUUUGCUGCUCAAAUAUGAGGUUGCUUUGUUACCUUUAUAUUUUAGUGCAGAGGUUCCCAACCUGUGGUACACGUACUCUAGGCGGUACGUGCAAGAAAAG